AUUGAACGCUGGCGGAAUGCUUUACACAUGCAAGUCGGGCGGCAGCGCGGGGGGCAACCCUGGCGGCGAGCGGCGAACGGGUGAGUAACACAUCGGAACGUACCCUGUCGUGGGGGAUAACGAAUCGAAAGAUUCGCUAAUACCGCAUACGACCUGAGGGUGAAAGCGGGGGAUCGCAAGACCUCGCGCGAGAGGAGCGGCCGAUGGCGGAUUAGCUAGUUGGUGGGGUAAAGGCCCACCAAGGCGACGAUCCGUAGCGGGUCUGAGAGGACGGCCCGCCACACUGGGACUGAGACACGGCCCAGACUCCUACGGGAGGCAGCAGUGGGGAAUUUUGGACAAUGGGGGCAACCCUGAUCCAGCCAUUCCGCGUGAGUGAAGAAGGCCUCGG
rnacentral:rRNA from 1 species